CCGGCAACCACAGAGAGAUAUUUUCCAGCUGGUUUUGAGGAAGUGAGCUGCCAUGUACUAGGCCACGUGGCAAGGGCCUGGUUGGGGACCUCCAGGGGUUGAGAGCAUCCUCUGGACAACAUGGAAAAAGAAAAUGAAAAUGGUGACCUCAGCCCUAUAGCUAGAAGGAAUUGAAUCCUGUCAACAACGAUGAGGAGACACCAGGGAUGACACACACAGAGGAAAAGCCACGUGUGGACACAGUAAGAAGGCAGCCAUCUGAAAACCAACAAGAAAGAUCUUAUGGGAAACCAGCCCUGCCUGCACCUUGAUCUUGGAUUUCUAAUCUCCAUAAAU
rnacentral:lncRNA from 1 species